AUGCACAGAGGAAGAGAACAAACUUCAUAUAUCCCUUCUUUACUCAAUCAAGAAACAAGAUCGGACGUGAUUCCAGUUCGUCUCCAUUUUAGUGACACUCUUCCUCAAGCAAGGCAGACAAUAAGUCAUCGAAGGGUUUGUUUGAAUAAUGGACGGGUAACCAUUACUCAUAUGAAAGUUUCCCAUGGUGAUCUAAUAUCUUUUAAAGAAAAUGACGCGAGAACCCGCGGUUUUGAAAUAAGGAGAUCUUUCUAUAUCGACAUAUCAGUUGGAAAAAUCAUAGGCAAAUUCCUAUCGGCCAUAUCAGUUGGAAAAAGAAGAGGCAAAUUCCUACCAGCCAGAAUCUGGAGAAGAACAGAAAAAGAAUGGUUCCGCUUACUCACAAAUCAGAGGGGAUGCCGGUUACUACUCAAAUCCAAGGAAUUGCAAAAGUUGCAUUCUUAUAUGCAAGAAGAAGACUUUGAAAGAACAAAGAAGUUUGGAUCCGCAAAAGUAUGCUUAGGCAGUUCCUUCGCUGAGCACAAAGAAUGA
rnacentral:rRNA from 1 species